UACGGGGGGGGCAAGCGUUGUUCGGAAUUACUGGGCGUAAAGCGUGCGCAGGCGGUUCUCCAAGUCCGUUGUGAAAGCCCCGGGCUCAACCUGGGAAUGGCAGUGGAAACUAGGGGACUUGAAUCUGGCAGAGGGGGGUGGAAUUCCACGUGUAGCAGUGAAAUGCGUAGAGAUGUGGAGGAACACCGAUGGCGAAGGCAGCCCCCUGGGCUGAGAUUGACGCUCAGGCACGAAAGCGUGGGGAGCAAACAGG
rnacentral:rRNA from 1 species